UGGGGAAUCUUGGACAAUGGGGGCAACCCUGAUCCAGCCAUGCCGCGUGGGUGAAGAAGGCCUUAGGGUUGUAAAGCCCUUUCAGUCGUGACGAUGAUGACGGUAGCGACAGAAGAAGCCCCGGCUAACUCCGUGCCAGCAGCCGCGGUAAUACGGAGGGGGCAAGCGUUGUUCGGAAUUACUGGGCGUAAAGGGCGCGUAGGCGGUCUGUUGCGUCAGGUGUGAAAGCCCCGGGCUCAACCUGGGAGGUGCACUUGAUACGGGCGGACUGGAAUCCGGGAGAGGAUGGUGGAAUUCCCAGUGUAGAGGUGAAAUUCGUAGAUAUUGGGAAGAACACCGAUGGCGAAGGCAGCCAUCUGGUCCGGUAUUGACGCUGAGGCGCGAAAGCGUGGGGAGCAAACAGGAUUAGAUACCCCCGUAGUCC
rnacentral:rRNA from 1 species